GACGUAGGUGGCGAGCGUUAUUCGGAAUUACUAGGCGUAAAGCGAGUGUAGGCGGAUGCUUAAGUCCGUAGUGAAAUCUCCCGGCUCAACCGGGAGGGGUCUGCGGAUACUGGGCGUCUUGAAUUGGGUAGGGGGGAUCAGAAUUCCCGGUGUAGCGGUGAAAUGCGCAGAUAUCGGGAAGAAUACCGGUGGCGAAGGCGGAUCCCUGGACCUGGAUUGACGCUGAGACUCGAAAGCGUGGGGAGCGAACAGG
rnacentral:rRNA from 1 species